AUGGGCCUCACCAUCUCCUCCCUCUUCUCCUGCUUCUUUGGCAAGAAGUAAAUGCACAUUUUGCUGUUUGGAUUGGAUGUUGCUGGUAAGAUGACCAUUCUGUAUAAACUGAAGUUAGGAGAGAUAGUCAUCACCAUUCCUACCACUGGUUUUAAUGUGGAAACAGUAGAGUAUAAGAACAUUUGUUCACAGUAUGGGAUGUUGGUGGUCAAGAUAGAAUUAGACCUCUCUGGAAGCAUCACUUCCAGAAUACCCAGGGUCUUACUUUUGUGGUAGAUAGUAAUGAUCGUGGAAGAAUUCAGAAAGUAGCAGAUGAGCUGCAGAAAAUGCUUCUGGUAGAUGACCUGAGAGAUGCAGUGCUGCUGCUUUUUGCAAACGAACAGGAUUUGCCAAAUGCUAUGGCCAUCAGCAAAAUAAUAGAUAAACUAGGUCUUCAGUCUCUUCGUAACCGAACAUGGUAUGUUCAAGCCACUUGUGCAACACAAGGAACUGGUCUGUAUGAGGGACUUGACGGACUGUCAAAUGAACUUUCAAAACGUUAAAUGAAACUGGAUAUCUAACCAAGGACAUGUUUGAUAAAAUUGGUCUAGGCUUCUUACAACAAAAUUAGUUUGUAUCUUGGUUAUUAAACAGUAUCUGGGACUGGUUUGGGGAGAACUUAUUUUGUUGCCAGUUAUUGUUUACCAAGUAUAAUGUUGCUAUUUAGCAGUGUGUUUGGUUUUAAAGAAAUUCUCCUUGGGAAAAAAAGUAUCCUCUUUUAAUUUUACUUCCCCUAAGCCUAAAUGUCUGGACAUAGCUAUUGUGAAACCUUUAAAUAAAUCAAUUUUGAGUG